rnacentral:rRNA from 1 species
CCUACGGGUGGCAGCAGUGGGGAAUAUUGGGCAAUGGGCGCAAGCCUGACCCAGCAACGCCGCGUGAAGGAAGAAGGCUUUCGGGUUGUAAACUUCUUUUGUCAGGGACGAAGCAAGUGACGGUACCUGACGAAUAAGCCACGGCUAACUACGUGCCAGCAGCCGCGGUAAUACGUAGGUGGCAAGCGUUAUCCGGAUUUACUGGGUGUAAAGGGCGUGUAGGCGGGACUGCAAGUCAGAUGUGAAAACCACGGGCUCAACCUGUGGCCUGCAUUUGAAACUGUAGUUCUUGAGUACUGGAGAGGCAGACGGAAUUCCUAGUGUAGCGGUGAAAUGCGUAGAUAUUAGGAGGAACACCAGUGGCGAAGGCGGCUUACUGGACUGUAACUGACGUUGAGGCUCGAAAGCGUGGGGAGCAAACAGGAUUAGAUACCCUUGUAGUC